UAGCAAGCGGCAGUUAUGGAGCAUGCGCAGCAGCAGGGGCGGCCGCAGGUCGCCGUUCAAUAAUACGUAAUUCAAGGGAUUUGUACAGCCCUGUAGGAGACACCUCCAGAGAAAGUAACAGCUCUCAAUUGAUUAGCUGAGGAGACCGAUUUUGUAAAUCACUACUUUUCUAACAACACUGGCACAGAUGGCCAAGCAUUCUCCCUUUUCUCAGAGCUGGUUUUCCAUCCCGGAAAGAGGUCUUACAUAUACAAAGUUACUCUAAUCAGUUGU
rnacentral:lncRNA from 1 species